GAUGAACGCUAGCGGCAGGCUUAAUACAUGCAAGUCGUGGGGCAGCAGGUUUGUAGCAAUACAAAUGCUGGCGACCGGCAAACGGGUGCGUAACACGUACGCAACUUACCCAUUACAGGGGAAUAGCCCAGGGAAACUUGGAUUAAUACCCCAUAUUAUAUAGGACUGGCAUCAGUCUUAUAUCAAAGCUUCGGCGGUAAUGGAUGGGCGUGCGGUUGAUGAGAUAGUUGGCGGGGUAACGGCCCACCAAGUCUACGAUCAAUAGCUGAUGUGAGAGCAUGAUCAGCCACACGGGCACUGAGGCACGGGCCCGACUCCUACGGGAGGCAGCAGUAAGGAAUAUUGGGCAAUGGACGAAAGUCUGACCCAGCCAUGCCGCGUGAAGGAUGAAGGUCCUCUGGAUUGUAAACUUCUUUUAUCUGGGGCGAAAAUCACCCUUUCUAGGGUGCUUGACAGUACCAGAGGAGUAAGCACCGGCUAACUCCGUGCCAGCCGCCGCGGUAAGAC
rnacentral:rRNA from 1 species